UUCAUACUUCAUACUAUGAGGCAAGGAACAAACCAACAAAUUAAAUAGACCAAGUAAAGAAUUCCCUAAAUAUAAAUGAACACAUGAUCACCUUCAUUUUGAAACAAGCUCCCACAUAAUAUCACUUGUUCUUCUAAGACCUCGAGGAACCAAUUCCGGAGGUUGACCAUGGAAAAUGAAAGGUUUCAGAAUUUCUGAAAUACGAAUCCGAAACAAUUACCAGUUUUUUCAGGUCAGCUUGGGGUUGGAGAUCAUCAGAGGCAACAUCACACUAUUGAGCCAUUAUCCGUGGAGUAUUGAUAUGUGUAUGUUAAAUGUUUUCAAAUGAGUGACAUGUAUAGGGACUUAGUUUUUCUAUGAUGACUAUUGUUGUGAUUAGCCAAAGGUAUUGGUUUAUAUUGAUUUGUUGUUUAUAGCCAUGAGAUAUGACUUAUAAUGAUUUUGGCUUGUAAGCCUAUUUAUCCAUGAUAUGUGUUAAUGUCUUAUAA